rnacentral:lncRNA from 1 species
AUGAUUCUAUGCGGUGGAGCAGGAGACAUAGAAUCAUUAUUGUUGGAAGAGACCUUCAAGGUCAUCGUUGUUGUUUUUUGUAGUGGAGGAGGUGGUGGUGGAGGAGGUGAUGGUGGUGGUGGAGGUAUUACUUUAAACCUGUGGUACCAUGAGUUUUACUUGAUGAUCCUAAUGUUUCUCAUCCAACUGUGGAUAUUCCAUGAUUCUAUGCGGUGGAGGAGGAGACAUAGAAUCAUUAUUGUUGGAAGAGACCUUCAAGGUCAUCGUUCUAGUUUUUGGUGGUGGAGGAGGCGGUGGUGGAGGAGGUGAUGGUGGUGGUGGAGGAAUUACUUUUAUACCUGUGGUACCACGAGUUUUACUUGAUGAUCCUAAAGGUUCUCAUCCAACUGUGGAUAUUCCAUGAUUCUAUGUGGUGGAGGAGGAGACAUAGAAUCCUUAUUGUUGGAAGAGACUUAAAAUAUGAUUUCUAUAGCAGUGGUGGAGGAGGCGGUUGUGGUGGCGGUGGAGGAAUAAUUUUUUUUAUACCUGUGUUAGUAUGAGUUGGACUUGGUGAUUCUUAUAUGUCCCUUCCAACUGUUUAUAUUCCAUGAUUCUAUGCGGUGGAGGAGGAGACAUAGAAUCAUUAUUGUUGGAAGAGACCUUCAAGGUCAUCGUUCUAGUUUUUGGUGGUGGAGGAGCCCGUGGUGGAGGAGGUGGUGGUGGUCGUGGAGGAAUUAGUUCUAUACCUGUGGUACCAUGAAUUUUACUUGAUGAUCCUAAUGUUUCUCAUGCAACUGUGGAUAUUCCAUGAUUCUAUGUGGUGGAGGAGGAGACAUAGAAUUCUUAUUGUUGGAAGAGACCUUCAAGGUCAUCGUUCAAGUUUUAGGUGGUGGAGUAGGUGGUGGUGGUGGUGGAGGAAUUAUUUCUAGACCAGUGGUACCAUGAGUUUUACUUGAUGAUCCUAAUGUUUCUCAUCCAGCUGUGGAUAUUCCAUGAAUCUAUGUGGUGGAGGAGGAGACAUAGAAUCAUUAUCGUUGGAAGAGACUUAAAAGAUGAUUUUUAUAGCAGUGGUGGAGGAGGCGUUCGUGGAGGAGGUGGUGGUGGUGGUGGUGGAGGAAUAAUUUUUAUACCUGUGGUACCAUGAGUUUUUCUAUGUUUUACUUAGUUCAUUCUAUGUGGUGGAGGAGGAGACACAGAAUCAUUCUUGUUGGAGG